CAUAACAGAAAAUAGGUUCAUAGUCGAUCUUAACCCAAACAUCAUUGUAUUUACGAUUUCUAGGAAGUAACUUAACAACGUGUUAUUUUCAGUAUUUCUUGAAUUUUGGUCUAAGUACAUCGUCCUACGUAUACUUUUGCCACAAUUACAUCAUGGGCAAUUGUUGCGCAGCAUGCAUUGUUCAGUGCGUGGCCGGUUUCGUUGUGUACACCGGGAAGGGAUUAUGGUUAUUGGCGAAACUGGGUUUCAUAGCUACUGGCGUGGUAGCUGGUAGUUUAGCAGCCCUUGCGAUGUCGUUCUUUGGAAAUGUGGAGGCCGGGAGUGUCAUAGCGGCUGCUACAUCGAUUGGUAUGAAGAUGUGACAGAAAUUCCCUUCACAAACCGUGGAAAAUCAUUUAAGCCUAUUUUAGCUAACAUAAAUAAAUAUGUCAGCUGAUAUGUUGCGGCUAGUUUUUCAUGUACUUAAUAAACUUGUGUUUAAGUGUGA